rnacentral:tRNA from 25 species
GGGCCUGUAGCUCAGUUGGGAGAGCGUUCGGUUCGCAUCCGAGAGGUCAAGGGUUCGAAUCCCUCCAGGUCCACCA